rnacentral:rRNA from 1 species
UACGGAGGGUGCGAGCGUUAAUCGAAAUUACUGGGCGUAAAGGGUGUGUAGGUGGCAAUAUAAGUUACUUGUGAAAGUCCCGGGCUUAACCUGGGUUGGACGGGUGAUACUGUAUAGCUAGAGUAUAGGAGAGGGUAGAGGAAUUCCAGGUGUAGCGGUGAAAUGCGUAGAUAUCUGGAGGAACACCGGUGGCGAAGGCGACUACCUGGCCUGAUACUGACACUGAGGCACGAAAGCGUGGGGAGCAAACAGG